rnacentral:rRNA from 2 species
GAAAGAGAGCUUGCUCUCUGGAUUCAGCGGCGGACGGGUGAGUAACACGUGGGCAACCUGCCUGUAAGACUGGGAUAACUCCGGGAAACCGGGGCUAAUACCGGAUAACUUCUUUUCCCGCAUGGGGAGAGGUUGAAAGACGGUUAUGCUGUCACUUACAGAUGGGCCCGCGGCGCAUUAGCUAGUUGGUGGGGUAACGGCCUACCAAGGCGACGAUGCGUAGCCGACCUGAGAGGGUGAUCGGCCACACUGGGACUGAGACACGGCCCAGACUCCUACGGGAGGCAGCAGUAGGGAAUCUUCCGCAAUGGACGAAAGUCUGACGGAGCAACGCCGCGUGAGUGACGAAGGCCUUCGGGUCGUAAAACUCUGUUAUCAGGGAAGAACAAGCAUCGUUUAACUGACGGUGCCAUGACGGUACCUGACCAGAAAGCCACGGCUAACUACGUGCCAGCAGCCGCGGUAAUACGUAGGUGGCAAGCGUUGUCCGGAAUUAUUGGGCGUAAAGCGCGCGCAGGCGGCUUCUUAAGUCUGAUGUGAAAGCCCACGGCUCAACCGUGGAGGGUCAUUGGAAACUGGGAGGCUUGAGUGCAGAAGAGGAGAGCGGAAUUCCACGUGUAGCGGUGAAAUGCGUAGAGAUGUGGAGGAACACCAGUGGCGAAGGCGGCUCUCUGGUCUGUAACUGACGCUGAGGCGCGAAAGCGUGGGUAGCGAACAGGAUUAGAUACCCUGGUAGUCCACGCCGUAAACGAUGAGUGCUAAGUGUUAGGGGGGUUUCCGCCCCUUAGUGCUGCAGCAAACGCAUUAAGCACUCCGCCUGGGG